rnacentral:rRNA from 1 species
CCUACGGGGGGCAGCAGUGAGGAAUAUUGGUCAAUGGACGAGAGUCUGAACCAGCCAAGUAGCGUGAAGGAUGACUGCCCUAUGGGUUGUAAACUUCUUUUAUAUGGGAGUAAAAUGUUCCACGUGUGGGAUUUUGUAUGUACCAUAUGAAUAAGGAUCGGCUAACUCCGUGCCAGCAGCCGCGGUAAUACGGAGGAUCCGAGCGUUAUCCGGAUUUAUUGGGUUUAACGGGAGCGUAGGUGGAUUGUUAAGUCAGUUGUGAAAGUUUGCGGCUCAACCGUAAAAUUGCAGUUGAAACUGGCAGUCUUGAGUACAGUAGAGGUGGGCGGAAGUCGUGGUGGAGCGGUGAAAUGCUUAGAUAUCACGAAGAACUCCGAUGGCGAAGGCAGCUCACUGGACUGCAACUGACACUGAGGCUCGAAAGGGUGGGUAGCAAACAGGAUUAGAUACCCCUGUAGUC